AGCAGCCGCGGUAAUUCCAGCUCCAAUAGCGUAUAUUAAAGUUGUUGCAGUUAAAAAGCUCGUAGUUGAAUUUCGGGAUCAGUUCGCUGGUCGUGCCUCUGGUAUGUACUGGUGUUACUGGUUCCUCCCUUCUGACGAACUGUCAUGUCAUUUAUUUGGUGUGGCAGGAAAUCAGGACUGUUACUUUGAAAAAAUUAGAGUGUUUAAAGCAGGCCUAUGCCCGAAUACAUUAGCAUGGAAUAACGAAAUAGGACGUGCGGUUCUAUUUUGUUGGUUUCUAGAGUCGCCGUAAUGAUUAAUAGGGAUAGUUGGGGGCAUUAGUAUUCAGUUGCUAGAGGUGAAAUUCUUGGAUUUACUGAAGACUAACUACUGCGAAAGCAUUUGCCAAGGAUGUUUUCAUUAAUCAAGAACGAAAGUUAGGGGAUCGAAGACGAUCAGAUACCGUCGUAGUCUUAACCAUAAACUAUGCCGACUAGGGAUCGGAUGAUGUUAAUUUUUUAAUGACUCG
rnacentral:rRNA from 1 species